rnacentral:rRNA from 1 species
UACGGAAGGCAGCAGUGGGGAAUAUUGGACAAUGGGCGAAAGCCUGAUCCAGCCAUGCCGCAUGAGUGAAGAAGGCCUUCGGGUUGUAAAGCUCUUUUAGUGAGAAAGAUAAUGACGGUACUCACAGAAGAAGUCCUGGCUAACUCCGUGCCAGCAGCCGCGGUAAUACGGAGAGGGCUAGCGUUAUUCGGAAUUAUUGGGCGUAAAGAGCGCGUAGGCUGAUUAGUAAGUUAAAAGUGAAAUCCCAAAGCUUAACUUUGGAAUUGCUUUUUAAAACUGCUAGUCUAGAGAUUUGAAAGAGGAUAGAGGAAUUCCUAGUGUAGAGGUGAAAUUCGUAAAUAUUAGGAGGAACACCAGUGGCGAAGGCGUCUAUCUGGUUCAAAUCUGACGCUGAGGCGCGAAGGGCGUGGGGAGCAAACAGGGAUUAGAUACCCGU